GCGAGCCAUGCUCCCUGUAUAAAGUCUAUGUGGUGCCCCUGUGAAAUCCUGAGUUCUCCCUGCAGAUCUGUACAGAACGUAUUGUGAAAAAUUAGUUUUAGAAGCUGUUUCCAGACCGACUACGCAUGCGCAGGAUUCUUGAGUGGAAGCGGACAGUUUCUACCGUAGUAUAUAUUUGUUUUUCGUGCAAGUUCGUCUAUUAUUAAACCGUGCUUAUAAUUCUAGGAUCACUGCGAUUAAAGUCUCGGAGAAAUAAACGUUCGGAACCAUAUUAUCGUCCUUUAUUAUGGAGAGCGGUCAGAAGAGGAAGUCUUACAAUCCUAUCCUGAGAAAUACCGCACG